AAAGUACUCCCUCCGUCCCAAAAUUCUUGUCUUAGAUUUGUCUAGAUACGGAUGUAUCAAGUCACAUUUUAGUAUUAGAUACAUCCGUAUCUAGACAAAUCUAAGACAAGAAAUUUGGGACAGUAAUCU
rfam:Triticum aestivum genome assembly, contig: Triticum_aestivum_CS42_TGACv1_scaffold_365927_4DS